rnacentral:rRNA from 1 species
UACGUAGGGGGCAAGCGUUGUCCGGAUUCAUUGGGCGUAAAGAGCGUGUAGGCGGGGCUUUAAGUCAGGGGUGAAAUCCUGGAGCUCAACUCCAGAACUGCCUUUGAUACUGAAGAUCUUGAGUUCGGGAGAGGUGAGUGGAACUGCGAGUGUAGAGGUGAAAUUCGUAGAUAUUCGCAAGAACACCAGUGGCGAAGGCGGCUCACUGGCCCGAUACUGACGCUGAGGCACGAAAGCGUGGGGAGCAAACAGG